rnacentral:piRNA from 1 species
ACGAUAAACCAAACGUAACCUUGG